UACGUAGGGGGCUAGCGUUAUCCGGAUUUAUUGGGUUUAAAGGGUGCGUAGGCGGAGUGCCAAGUCAGCGGUAAAAAUUCGGGGCUCAACCCCGUCGUGCCGUUGAAACUGGCGCCCUUGAGUGGGCGAGAAGUAUGCGGAAUGCGUGGUGUAGCGGUGAAAUGCAUAGAUAUCACGCAGAACCCCGAUUGCGAAGGCAGCAUACCGGCGCCCGACUGACGCUGAAGCACGAAAGCGUGGGUAUCGAACAGG
rnacentral:rRNA from 1 species